UUAUCCGGAUUAUUGGGCGUAAAGAGCUCGUAGGCGGUUUGUCGCGUCUGCUGUGAAAACUGGAGGCUCAACCUCCAGCCUGCAGUGGGUACGGGCAGACUAGAGUGCGGUAGGGGAGAUUGGAAUUCCUGGUGUAGCGGUGGAAUGCGCAGAUAUCAGGAGGAACACCAAUGGCGAAGGCAGAUCUCUGGGCCGUAACUGACGCUGAGGAGCGAAAGCAUGGGGAGCGAACAGGAUUAGAUACCCUGGUAGUCCAUGCCGUAAACGUUGGGAACUAGAUGUAGGGACCAUUCCACGGUUUCUGUGUCGCAGCUAACGCAUUAAGUUCCCCGCCUGGGGAGUACGGCCGCAAGGCUAAAACUCAAAGGAAUUGACGGGGGCCCGCACAAGCGGCGGAGCAUGCGGAUUAAUUCGAUGCAACGCGAAGAACCUUACCAAGACUUGACAUAUACGAGAACGGGCUAGAAAUAGUUCACUCUUUGGACACUCGUAAACAGGUGGUGCAUGGUUGUCGUCAGCUCGUGUCGUGAGAUGUUGGGUUAAGUCCCGCAACGAGCGCAACCCUCGUUCUUUGUUGCCAGCACGUYAUGGUGGGAACUCAAAGGAGACUGCCGGGGUCAACUCGGAGGAAGGUGGGGAUGACGUCAAAUCAUCAUGCCCCUUAUGUCUUGGGCUUCACGCAUGCUACAAUGGCCGAUACAAAGGGCUGCAAUACCGCAAGGUGGAGCGAAUCCCAAAAAAGUCGGUCUCAGUUCGGAUUGAGGUCUGCAACUCGACCUCAUGAAGUCGGAGUCGCUAGUAAUCGCAGAUCAGCAACGCUGCGGUGAAUACGUUCCCGGGCCCUUGUACACACCCGCCCGUCAAGUCAUGAAAGUCGGUAACACCCG
rnacentral:rRNA from 1 species